rnacentral:rRNA from 1 species
UACGAAGGUGGCGAAUGUUGCUCGGAUUCACUGGGCGUAAAGCGUCUGUAGGUGGCUUGUUAAGUUAGAGGUGAAAGCCCGGGGCUCAACUCCGGAAUUGCCUUUAAGACUGCAUCGCUAGAAUUGUGGAGAGGUAAGUGGAAUUCCGAGUGUAGAGGUGAAAUUCGUAGAUAUUCGGAAGAACACCAGUGGCGAAGGCGACUUACUGGACACAUAUUGACGCUGAGGUGCGAAAGCGUGGGGAGCAAACAGG